UGUUUGCUUUGCCUUAUAUGAAGGGAUUUCCUCGAGUCAAGCUUACAGAAGCCCAAGCGUACAGAAACCCUCUGUAUGUUGACAGAUACAAAUUGAUUGAAGUUGGAUGAUGAUGAUAUGCUAUUUGUAGAUACGUCCUUUCUAGAUAUAUCUUGUUACUUUGCUUUCCUGGUGAGGUAAGCCUACAUUAAUUCUACCAAAAUUAAUAGUUUCCAUCCUUCAAGUAGGUAGAUUAUUAAUUAUACUUAACUAGCAUUCUGAUAGCUAAAUCACAUUAAGAUGAGUUUCAUAACAAGAUUUUAAUAUCUCCUAUUGCUAUGGUACCAUAAAUAUAUAUAUAGAAAGUAUAAUAGUAAGAAAACCGAAGCCCCCCAAAAAAGAAACCCAAACACAUUUUUCCCUUAAGAUUUGGUCAAUAUCUAAUAUGAAAAAUCAGUAUGUUAACUUUUUUUUUCUUUUUGAGAACAUAUGAAGCAAAUUCUUGAGUGAGUUUACAUUUGUUUAAAUGACAUUUUAUUUUAAAGAAUUAUAAAAACUAAGUAAGCUUUCUAGCCUGAAUUAUCUUUAAUCAUGAGAAAAUUAUUCUAUCAAUCUUAAUAAAUGCUACAAGUGCUUUGUACACAGGCUGUACCCAAGGCUGUGAGCCAUUUGACUUACAUGUGUCAUAACUGCACUUCUCCAAAACUUCCAUCAAGUUCUUCAAGCAGCUGUUUAGAUUAAAAAAACCAAACACUUUUGAGGUGUCUUUCUGAUGAAGGAAGCAUAAAACAUGCGAGGUGAAUGUAACCAGAGCAGGGAGAGGUUACCAAACAGCAUGCAAGCGUCAGUCCUUGAGGUGUAAAUUACAAUGAGUUGUGGAUCUUCUAAAAAUGUCUCUUUUACACAGGCUAAUCUGAACCAUGUAAAGUGUAAGGCUAUCCUAGAAGUUUCUACUUUGAUGAGCUUUCACCAUAACCCAAGUACCUUGCUGGCUUGCUGUCUGCACUGCAGGCUCCAGGGCCUUUGUGCUCUAUGAACUGGGCAGCUGCUCCAUGCAUGCUGCUUCAGCUGGGGCACUCUCCCACACUUCCAGCUGUGGCAGCUGCUAGGAAACCAGUAGAUCAUGAGAUGAACAUCUUGAUAAAAGGAGCUGGAGGAGUUCUCGCCCACUGCCUGCUAACUCUGGCAACAGCCAGUGUACUUGGGCUUUGGGAGGCUUACUCCCUCCCCGAGUGGAGUGCAUUGUAGGCCUUUUGUAGCAAAUUCUGAGUCCUGACCAGCUGCCCUAGGAACUACCACAUUCUGCCAAGUUAGCUGGAUAUUCCAGAAAAAACUGAAAAACCGUUCAGAUGAUGACAUGUGUUGACAUGAACAAUUCUUUGCCAUACUAAAAUAUUAAAAAAAAAAAAAAAAUCAGAAAAUUUACCAUUACUUGAAAGCUGCAUCUCAUUUUCAUGCCUGCUAUUGGGGCUGUGUUUAACAGCUGUGUUCUCUCAGUAUCUGCAGCACAGAGGUAGGAGACCUGAGAAUGUAACCUGAGAUCACACAAAACUGUGGUGGAAAAUUUUGGGAGUCAAGAUAACCUGAGAUGGCAGCACUUGAAACAAGUCCAACCAGACAUAAACAAGCACUUGUGGUGGCUUGUGUCCAUUGGGUUUUCUACCACAUCUGUUUUCUCCAGGGGGGCUCCUCUUGUCCUUGGAGAGACACGGGUGCUGGGCACUGCUUGCACUCUUACCUUGCUACUGGGGUCCAUCAGGAGCUGGCAGGGAUGGUUCAGUGCUUCAGCCCCCACCUUCUUGUACCUGCCAGUCCGAAUGCGCUGCAGGCCCCAAUGAAGUUUUGGGUUAUUUCUAAGUGUAAUUGAAAAAAAAAAAAAAAAUUCCCUGAGAACUGUAAAAGACACAGCUGGGCUGCAGCAGCAGCUUUCCAUGCAAACACAGUAUCUUAUUUAAUGGCUGUGAGCAUUCCUUGUAGUAGAUGCAUGUGUGACAGGAAGAAAAUGAUUUAACAGUAUCCUUCUGGACCAAUUUUAAACAAAAAGUGAAGUUUUUUUAGCAACUAAAAUAUGUGUUGCUGAAGGGACAAAAACACUUCCGGCAUUUAUCCUGCAGCCAAAUGUAAAAUAAAGAUAUAUUGAUCUUUAUGUAAAGCUGACUUUUUUCUGUAUAGAUAGUGGUCAAUUUUGCAAGAACAUCACAAAGAUUUUUAAUGUAAAAUUUCAAGUUUGGAAGUUCUUUGAGGCAUUAAAAUGGGGCAGACUGAUCUGUAUACCCCUGAAUAUAAAUAUUAUAGAUAAAACAGUCAUUAAUGCUUCAGAACUAUAGGGAUUUCUUAAAUUCAGUUUUGUUUUUUAUAGGCAUACAUUUCAAAUUCAAUUUUUCACUGUACGUGUGUAUGUGUAUGUCAUUGCCCUCUACUGGACAGAUCUAGAGUAACUUUUUCAGCAAUGCUGCCAGCUUGCUUGGAGUCUGUGGCUGUUACUUCAGCACAAUCGGAAGAGGGACGCCUUCACACUCCCAAGUAUUAAACGAACAUAUGGAAAUAUCUCUGUAAGGAAAAGGAUUGGGAUUCAACAGUAGAGCUUCAGAGGAUGUUGGUGAAGCCACAUAGCAAGAGCAAUCAAGAAUUCAGCUGUCUCAGGAAGGAAUCAGAGUUUUGGAGACCAAAGGAGCCUAUUCAGACAAGUGUCCUUCAUGCUGUGAGGCUGGGCUGGAUCUAAAGCAAGCAGAGAUGGAGAGAAAAGCCACUUAGUUAAUGCGCUGGACCUGUGCAUGAAAAGGAACACGAGUGUCCUUAUCCCUGCUUCACAGCUCAAGGAAGUGAAGCUUAGAGAAGUAAGCCUGGCUUACCCAAGAUCAUGCAUCACAGAGAAUUGGAUGGAGUGAUAGAACUGUUUUUUUUUUAUCCUGAAGGCACAUCCAGUAUC